CCGCGCGGCAACGCAGGGGCGGAACCGCAUGACUGGCAGUGGCAUCAGCGAUGGCGGCUGCGUCGGGGUCGGUUCUGCAGCGCUGUAUCGUGUCGCCGGCAGGGAGGCAUAGCGCCUCUCUGAUCUUCCUGCAUGGCUCAGGUGGAUUUCAAUUUUACGUCCUGGUUUUCUACAGCUCGGGAAACAUUUUAUGACAAACCCACAGCCAGUAUCAUACUGAAUGGACAAAAGCUGUAACCAUUCCCCUUGAAAUCCAGCUCAAGACAAAGAUGCUCUCUCUCACCACUUCUAUUCAACCCCACCCUUGGUAAUUUCUAUCUUUUCUCAUUUUAGCACUUGUUGUUUUGCUUUAGUGGUAUGCACUGUGCUUUAAUUAACAUUUCGCUGAUAACUAGUGAAACUGAACACUUAUUUGCGUGUUGAUAGACAUUGGGAUAUUUACUUUUCUAAAGUGUCUGCUCAUAUCUUUUGUCCAUUUCCCAUUUGCUUUUUGUUUGUUUAAUUGUAAGAAUUUUAAAGAUCAUAAUCUGAGUUUAUUGUUGCACAGACUGGUGACAUAUAGUCUCCCAUUCUUUGCUUUUUCACUCUCUUUGUGGUGUCUUGAUAAAUUAAGAAACUACUAAUGUUAAUUUAAGCCAAUUUAUUAAUUUUCUUGUUUAUGUUUAGCAUCUUUUGAGUAGCACCAGUGGUGUUAAGGAAAUAUUUUUGUCUACACCAAAGUCACAAAGUUAUUCUUCUGUGUUUAAAAGCUUAAGUAUAUUACUCUUUAGAUCUAUAUUCUAUAUAAUUUGAUUUUUGUAUAUGGUAUAGAAGGAAUCAAGAUUCACUUUUUUCUGUAUGGAUAUUCAACUUACAUAGAACCAUUUACUGAAAUGAUUACCCUUUCCCUACCACACUGCCCUGUUACCCUUGUUGUAAUCUUGUGACCACAUAUCUGUGUUUGUUUCUAUUCCCUCUGUUCUUUUGGCCUAUUCUUGAAGCGAUGGCUCAAAGCAUUAAUUAGUAUCAUUUUAUAAUAAGUCUUGAGGCCUUGUGGCAUAAGUCUUGGCAUUGUAUUUCAUUUUUAUUUUAAAGAGAGGAAGCUGUCUCCCCUCACCUGUAACUGCUGUGUUUACACAGAUGGUGUGCUCUGAAAAGCCUUGCUUUCAGUUGAUAAGGAAACUAAAAUUUAACCAAGACCUUUGAUUAGCUGAUUUAUCAAGUUGAAGCUUGAUAUGUGUGGAUUUGAUCCUGCCAUCAUGAUGUUAACUGGUUAUUAUGCAGACUUGUUUAUGUGGUUGCUUUAUGGUGUCACUGGUUCAUGUAUUUAUUUGUGUUUUUAUAGUGGCUGGUAACAAUCUUUCCUUUCUAUAUUUAGUGCUUCUUCAGAAGCUCUUGAAAGGCAGGUCUGGUGCUAUAAUGUGGGCCCCCAGGCACCCGAGGCUGCUCUGCACACAAACACAGACAAGGUGGGGUCCCAGGAGAGGCCAGGACUAAGGGGUGCUCAGGUCGGUCAGACCAGCCCCAUCUGAUGAGCAAGACUGCCCAGUAGAGUUCAGGUCCGACAGUUCUGCUAGGGUUAAAGUCUCCUAUUGGAGCAAGUUAAGCCCAGGGGUUUGGCCAUCCCUAGCCAUGCUCUGCUACAGAUGCUCCCACACCAAACCCGCUGGUCUCUACAUCAGCUGGCUUGCUGACCCUACCACUUCUCUAAGCAGCUCUCCCUGCCAACUGGAGUGUCUGUGGUGGUCAAGGGGUCUCUUCCUGCAGGGAUUCCAGAGGUCCAAGGUAAGAGCAUGUUGCUUCUUGCCAGUUCCACUCACCUAUUUCCCCAGAGUCACUGGGGACCAGGAAUGAGUCCUGAUGCACAGUAUCGUCGUGCGGGGUUCCCAGCUUCCUUCCCCUUCAGCCCAGCUUCUGCAUCUUCCCUCUGACCACUCUCAGUGCCUUCCUGAUGAAGAUCUGUUAGGAGUGCACCAGUUGUCUCAGCCCUUUGGUGGCAGCUGUUCCAUGUGGCAGCAUCUAGUUGGCCAUCUUGCCCUUUCUCAAUGUAAAUUUUUGUUUAAAUAUCUCCUUUUUCAUACUACAACUAUUGUUAAAGAAUGUGUCACCCAGAGUGAUAAAUCUAUGGAAGCAAAGCAAAUAUCAUCAAUAAGAAAUUCUGUAGCCUCCAAUGCCUGAUUUCACCCAGGCAGUAAACUCAUGGCAAAGCUGUGUGCCCUAUCUAUCUAUCUAUCUGUCUAUCUAUCUUUUUUUUUUUUUUGAGACAGAGUCUUGCUGUGUUGCCCAGGCUGGAAUGCAGUGGAACGAUCUCAGCUCACUGCAACCUCUGUCUCCCAGGUUCAAAUGAUUCUUGUAUCUAGCCUCUCGAGUAGCUGGGAUUACAGGUGGUCACCACCACACCCAGCUAAUUUUUGUAUUAUUAGUACAGACAGGGUGGGGUUUCACCAUUUUGGCCAGGCUGGUCUUGAACUCCUGACCUCAAGUUAUCCACCUGCCUCAACCUCCUAGAGUGCCGGGAUUAUAGGCAUGAGCCACUGCACCCGGCCUGUCUAUCAUCUAUCUAUCUAUCUGUCUGCCUAUCUAGCUAUCUAUCUAAUGAUUGGAAUAUUCAAAGUUUAUUAAAAAGCAUGCUGGAAAAUUUCACUCUACUGCAAAACACACCAUCUCUUUAUUUUUCCCAUAUCCAAUAAAAAAGGGUUUGAUGAAUAUUCUCAAUUACCUUGUAUCUCAGUCUAUAUCU
rnacentral:lncRNA from 1 species